rnacentral:rRNA from 1 species
CACAUGGGUGACCUACCCCGCAGUGAGGAAUACCGGCGAGAAAUCGCCGACAAGACCGCAUAGGCUCUGGUGGAUAAAGCCAAGAGAGCAAAGUCGCAAGACGCUGAGGGAUGGGCCUGUGGCCGAUUAGCUAGUUGGUGGGGUAAGAGCCUACCAAGGCCACGAUCGGUAGCUGGUCUGAGAGGACGAACAGCCACACUGGGAUUGAGAACGGCCCAG